CCUGGCUCACACCGGUUUAAACUCAGAUCAUGUAAAAUUUCAAAGGUCGAACAGACCUAAUUCAUUAGCUUYUUCACCAAUAAUUAAUUUUAAUCCAACAUCGAGGUCGCAAUCUUUUUUUUCGAUAAGAACUCUAAAAAAAAUUACGCUGUUAUCCCUAAGGUAAUUUAAUCUUUUGUCCAAAAUAAGGAUCAAUUUCUUACUAACCAGUAUUCAAAUAAAAAAAAAGUUCUUUAAAUUUUUCCAUCACCCCAAUAAAAUAAAUACAGACACAUUCAAACCCCCCUCCUAAACUUUAAACAAGCCUCAUAUAUCAAACUCUAUAGGGUCUUCUCGUCUUCAAUUUAAAUUUAAGCUUUCUCACUUAAAAAUAAAAUUUUAAUAAAUUUUUAUAAAGACAGUCACUUUUUCAUUAAACCCUUCAUCCCAGCUUCCAAUUAAAAAACUAUUGAUUAUGCUACCUUUGCACGGUCAAGAUACCGCGGCCAUUUAAAACAUCAGCGGGCAGGCCCGACCUGAAAAAACUUACAACAAGCCAUGUUUU
rnacentral:rRNA from 1 species